rnacentral:rRNA from 1 species
UACGUAGGUGGCAAGCGUUGUCCGGAUUUAUUGGGUUUAAAGGGUGCGUAGGCGGCUUUGUAAGUCAGUGGUGAAAUAUGGCAGCUCAACUGUCAAGGUGCCAUUGAUACUGCGGAGCUUGAGUACAGAUGAGGUAGGCGGAAUUGACGGUGUAGCGGUGAAAUGCUUAGAUAUCGUCAAGAACACCUAUAGCGAAGGCAGCUUACUAGGCUGUAACUGACGCUGAGGCACGAAAGUGUGGGAGUCAAACAGG